UGGGGAAUUUUGGACAAUGGGCGAAAGCCUGAUCCAGCAAUGCCGCGUGUGUGAAGAAGGCCUUCGGGUUGUAAAGCACUUUUGUCCGGAAAGAAAUGGCUCUGGUUAAUACCUGGGGUCGAUGACGGUACCGGAAGAAUAAGGACCGGCUAACUACGUGCCAGCAGCCGCGGUAAUACGUAGGGUCCAAGCGUUAAUCGGAAUUACUGGGCGUAAAGCGUGCGCAGGCGGUUGUGCAAGACCGAUGUGAAAUCCCCGAGCUUAACUUGGGAAUUGCAUUGGUGACUGCACGGCUAGAGUGUGUCAGAGGGGGGUUAGAAUUCCACGUGUAGCAGUGAAGUGCGUAGAGAUGUGGAGGAAUACCGAUGGCGAAGGCAGCCCCCUGGGAUAACACUGACGCUCAUGCACGAAAGCGUGGGGAGCAAACAGGAUUAGAUACCCUGGUAGUCCACGCCCCUAAAACGAUGUCAACUAGUUGUUGGGGGAUUCAUUUCCUUAGUACGUAGCUAACGCGUGAAGUUGACCGCCUGGGGAGUACGGUCGCAAG
rnacentral:rRNA from 1 species